CCCUUAGAUGUCCUGGGCUGCACGCGCGCUACACUGGAAGUUACGGAUUGAGAUACUACCUUGUCCGAAAUGGUCCGGGUAAUCACCUAAAAGCUUGUCAUAAUUGGAAUGGAUUAUUGUAACUAGUAAUCCUGAACGAGGAAUUCCUAGUAAGUCCCAGUCAACAGCUGGUACUGAUUACGUCCCUGCCCUUUGUACACACCGCCCGUCGCUACUACUGAUUGGACGUUUAAGCAAGAUUUUUAAACACUGACAGUGUGUAGUUCACGCUAUACUACAGUGAGAAGAAGAAGAUCGAGCUUACUUGCCUAGAGGAAGUAAAAGUCGUAACA
rnacentral:rRNA from 1 species